AUUGAACGCUGGCGGCAGGCCUAACACAUGCAAGUCGAGCGGAUGAGGGAGCUUGCUCCUGGAUUCAGCGGCGGACGGGUGGGUAAUGCCUAGGAAUUUGCCUGGUCGUGGGGGAUAACGACCGGAAACGGGCGCUAAUACCGCAUACGUCCUGAGUGAUAAAGCGGGGGAUGUUCGGACCUCACGCUAUCAGUUGAGCCUAGGUCGGAUUAGCUAGUUGGUGGGGUAAAGGCCUACCAAGCCGACGAUCCGUAACUGGGCUGAGAGGAUGAUCGGUCACACUGGAACUGAGACACGGUCCAGACUCCUACGGGAGGCAGCAGUGGGGAAUAUUGGACAAUGGGCGAAAGCCUGAUACAGCCAUGCCAAGUGUGUGAAGAAGGUCUUCGGAUUGUAAAGCACUUUAAGUUGGGAGGAAGGGCAGUAGGUUAAUACCUUGCUGUUGUGACGGUACCAACAGAAUAAGCACCGGCUAACUUCGUG
rnacentral:rRNA from 1 species